rnacentral:rRNA from 1 species
AACGAACGCUGGCGGCAUGCCUAACACAUGCAAGUCGAACGAGACCUUCGGGUCUAGUGGCGCACGGGUGCGUAACGCGUGGGAACCUGCCCUUAGGUUCGGUAUAACUCCCCGAAAGGGGUGCUAAUACCGGAUAAUGUCUUCGGACCAAAGAUUUAUCGCCUUUGGAUGGGCCCGCGUUGGAUUAGCUAGUUGGUAGGGUAAAAGCCUACCAAGGCGACGAUCCAUAGCUGGUCUGAGAGGAUGAUCAGCCACACUGGGACUGAGACACGGCCCAGACUCCUACGGGAGGCAGCAGAGGGGAAUAUUGGACGAUGGGCGAAAGCGUGAUCCAGCCAUGCCGCGUGAGUGAUGAAGGCCUUAGGGUUGUACAGCUCUUUUACCCGGGAUGAUAAUGACAGUACCGGGAGAAUAAGCUCCGGCUAACUCCGUG